rnacentral:rRNA from 1 species
UAAGGAAUAUUGGUCAAUGGGCGGAAGCCUGAACCAGCCAUGCCGCGUGCAGGACGAAUGCCCUACGGGUAGUAAACUGCUUUUGCGCGGGAACAAACGCAACUACGAGUAGUUGCCUGAGCGUACCGCGAGAAUAAGGAUCGGCUAACUCCGUGCCAGCAGCCGCGGUAAUACGGAGGAUCCGAGCGUUAUCCGGAAUUAUUGGGUUUAAAGGGUGCGUAGGCGGCCAAUUAAGUCAGGGGUGAAAUACAGCGGCUCAACCGUUGCAGUGCCUUUGAUACUGAUUAGCUUGAAUGUGGCCGAAGGAGGCGGAAUGGGACAAGUAGCGGUGAAAUGCAUAGAUAUGUCCCAGAACCCCGAUUGCGAAGGCAGCUUCCUAGACCAUUAUUGACGCUGAUGCACGAAAGCGUGGGGAUCGAACAGGAUUAGAUACCC